UUUCGCUGCUGUCCACAACCCUGUCAGAACAGAUUUGGGACACAUUUUUGGGUCACAACCCGCCAGUUGGAAUAGAGCACAGCGGGAGCCAUAAGUGCCGCUCUGAGACACAACAGCAGUGGAUUAAAGAAUGCCGGAGCCAAAGUCUCUCGCAUGUUUCGCAGCACUGCGGUCGUCCCACAGAGCCAUCCAGACCAACUUCACAUUAGCUGCUGUUCCUGAAGUUCUGUUCCUGACUGAAUUGCAGUGAGAAAGGUACAGUACACAAUUUUUUUAAUGUCAAACGUGAUGAGAAACAAGUAGGCUAAUGUUAAUAGUCAGAAAAAUUCUUCAGUA
ensembl:lncRNA